rnacentral:rRNA from 1 species
GAUGAACGCUGGCGGCGUGCCUAAUACAUGCAAGUCGAACGAAACUUCUUUAUCACCGAGUGCUUGCACUCACCGAUAAAGAGUUGAGUGGCGAACGGGUGAGUAACACGUGGGCAACCUGCCCAAAAGAGGGGGAUAACACUUGGAAACAGGUGCUAAUACCGCAUAACCAUAGUUACCGCAUGGUAACUAUGUAAAAGGUGGCUAUACUACCGCUUUUGGAUGGGCCCGCGGCGCAUUAGCUAGUUGGUAGGGUAAAGGCUUACCAAGGCAAUGAUGCGUAGCCGAAUUGAGAGGUUGAUCAGCCACAUUGGGACUGAGACACGGCCCAGACUCCUACGGGAGGCAGCAGUAGGGAAUCUUCCACAAUGGGCGAAAGCCUGAUGGAGCAACGCCGCGUGGGUGAAGAAGGUCUUCGGAUCGUAAAACCCUGUUGUUAGGGAAGAAAGUGCGUGAGAGUAACUGUUCACGUUUCGACGGUAUCUAACCAGAAAGCCACGGCUAACUACGUG